rnacentral:rRNA from 1 species
GAUGAACGCUGGCGGCGUGCCUAAUACAUGCAAGUCGAGCGAACGGACGAGGAGCUUGCUUUUCUGAUGUUAGCGGCGGACGGGUGAGUAACACGUGGAUAACCUACCUAUAAGACUGGGAUAACUUCGGGAAACCGGAGCUAAUACCGGAUAAUAUUUUGAACCGCAUGGUUCAAAAGUGAAAGACGGUCUUGCUGUCACUUAUAGAUGGAUCCGCGCUGCAUUAGCUAGUUGGUAAGGUAACGGCUUACCAAGGCAACGAUGCAUAGCCGACCUGAGAGGGUGAUCGGCCACACUGGAACUGAGACACGGUCCAGACUCCUACGGGAGGCAGCAGUAGGGAAUCUUCCGCAAUGGGCGAAAGCCUGACGGAGCAACGCCGCGUGAGUGAUGAAGGCCUUCGGAUCGUAAAACUCUGUUAUUAGGGAAGAACAUAUGUGUAAGUAACUGUGCACAUCUUGACGGUACCUAAUCAGAAAGCCACGGCUAACUACGUG